rnacentral:SRP_RNA from 1 species
GGAGGUUGGUGGCGGACGGGCCUGUCGCCAACCCGGUCAGGUCCGGAAGGAAGCAGCCGUAACGAAUUUGGCCCGGGUCGUUGCCAGCCUCCCAC